rnacentral:rRNA from 1 species
AGUGAACGCUGGCGGUAGGCCUAACACAUGCAAGUCGAACGGCAGCACAGUAAGAGCUUGCUCUUACGGGUGGCGAGUGGCGGACGGGUGAGGAAUACAUCGGAAUCUACUUUUUCGUGGGGGAUAACGUAGGGAAACUUACGCUAAUACCGCAUACGACCUACGGGUGAAAGCAGGGGAUCUUCGGACCUUGCGCGUUUGAAUGAGCCGAUUUCGGAUUAGCUAGUUGGCGGGGUAAAGGCCCACCAAGGCGACGAUCCGUAGCUGGUCUGAGAGGAUGAUCAGCAAAACUGGAACUGAGACACGGUCCAGACUCCUACGGGAGGCAGCAGUGGGGAAUAUUGGACAAUGGGCGCAAGCCUGAUCCAGCCAAACCGCGUGGGUGAAGAAGGCCUUCGGGUUGUAAAGCCCUUUUGUUGGGAAAGAAAAGCAGCAGGUUAAUACCCCGCUGUUCUGACGGUACCCAAAGAAUAAGCACCGGCUAACUUCGUG